CGCGUAGGCGGACCAACAAGUCGGAUGUGAAAACUGGCGGCUUAACUGCCAGCCUGCACUCGGUACUGUUGGUCUUGAGUACAGUAGAGGAAAGCGGAAUUCCAGGUGUAGCGGUGAAAUGCGUAGAUAUCUGGAAGAACACCAGUAGCGAAGGCGGCUUUCUGGGCUGAUACUGACGCUGAAGCGCGAAGGCUUGGGUAGCAAACAGGAUUAGAUACCCUGGUAGUCC
rnacentral:rRNA from 1 species